rnacentral:rRNA from 1 species
AUUGAACGCUGGCGGCAUGCCUUACACAUGCAAGUCGAACGGUAACAGGUUAAGCUGACGAGUGGCGAACGGGCGAGUAAUGUAUCGGAACGUGCCCAGUCGCGGGGGAUAACUGCUCGAAAGAGCAGCUAAUACCGCAUCCGACCCGAGGGUGUAAGUGGGGGAUCGCAAGACCUCGCGCGAUUGCAGCGGCCGAUAUCCGAUUAGGUAGUUGGUGAGGUAAAGGCUCACCAAGCAGACGAUCUGUAGCUGGUCUGAGAGGUCGACCAGCCACACUGGGACUGAGACACGGCCCAGACUCCUACGGGAGGCAGCAGUGGGGAAUUUUGGACAAUGGGCGCAAGCCUGAUCCAGCCAUGCCGCGUGCGGGAAGAAGGCCUUCGGGUUGUAAACCGCUUUUGUCAGGGAAGAAAAGGUUCUGGCGAAAACCUGGGACUCAUGACGGUACCUGAAGAAUAAGCACCGGCUAACUACGUG